UUGUGUUCUGGGUUCAUUUGUCUCCCUGCUCUCUGGGGACCUCCAAGUAGCAUCUCCUCCAGUGUCUUUGUUCUCUCCAAUGCUCUUCCCUCGUCUUCUCACAUGUCCUUGUUUUCUCAGUCUUAACACUUCACCCUAACCAUCACCAGACCUCAAGCUUAAUGAUUCAAAAUAUAUGUCCAAUCCCAUCUUUGGAAACCCCACCCUAAAACUGCUCUUCUGAAGAUAAACACUGCCAUAAUUGCCAAAUUGAAUAAGCUUUUCAGUUUUUCUUUCCCCUUAACCUCUUGCGAGUUGUCACCAUCAGGGACCAUCCCUGUCUGCUUUACCCGCUCCCCGCUGUGGCUUCCAUGACGGCAAUGCCCCCCAUCCCAGGUCUCUGACCUGCACUACUAAUCAGUGGGAUUCCACCCGCCAGUGUUCGGCCUCCUCUGUCCUUCCUUCUUAGGGCACCACAUUUUCCUCUGCCCUUCCUCAAACAGCCUGGGGGAAAGCAAGCUCCUGUCAAAUGUCAAGAUACACAAUUCUCAUUCCUCUCAUAAUAAAGAUGCAUUGUCCCGGCACUCAUGUUAUUCCUGGAACAGGGAGACAGGGGUACCAGUUUGAACCCCAGGGCACACUUGCGUCUUCUCAGCUGUCUGAUAUACCUAACACCUGCUUGAUCUCGGCUCAUUGCAGCCUCAGCCUCCUGGGCUUAAGUGAUCCUCCCACCUCAGCCUCCAGAGUAGCUGAGACUACAGAUGCAUGCCACCAUGCUUGGCUAAUUUUUAAAUUUUUUUUUGUACAAAGUCUCACUAUGUUGCCCCGGCUGGUCUCAAACUCCUGGGCUCAAGUGAUCCUUCCGACUCGACCUCCCGAAGUAUUGGGAUUACAGGUGUGAGCCACUGUGCUCAGGAAGAGGCACUUCUGAGAUUCUCUUUGCAACCCAUGAUUGAUGUACAGAGAAGGCAAAGCCAAACUGUCCACUCUCCCACCACAGUGCCCAGGGCCAAAGCCAGAGAAGGAAAGGAGAGUGGUUUCUGAGCUCAGGCCCUCACAGGCUUCUGCAGAGGGUGAACACUUGCUGAAGGAACCACUGGAUGUUUUGGCAACCACCUGGCAGUGUCUGUGCCACCGUGCACAACUGAGUCCAGGGACCUGCUCAGCAUCCACAGCCUUACAGCUCAGGGCUGGCAGAUGUCAGGCCACCCUGCUCUCCUAACUCCUUUGCUUAGGAAACUUUCUAGUUAAAGAAAUGUGUGCAGAGAGGCGAGAUCAUUAAAAGUUCCUUCAAACAGGGCAAACUGCCUCCAUCCUGGGCUCACAGCACAAGUUAUCCCAGGGGUGCCCAAGAUGCAGGGAGAGGGGUCAACAUUUACAACGGACCAAACUCCAAGA
rnacentral:lncRNA from 1 species